rfam:Picea glauca, whole genome shotgun sequence.
CAAUCGGUCUUUCUAAAGACCACCUUUUUCUGCAUUUCCACCAUUGU